rnacentral:rRNA from 1 species
GACGAGGGGUCCAAGCGUUGUUCGGAAUCAUUGGGCGUGAAGCGGGUGUAGGCGGCUCUAUAAGUCAGAAGUGAAAGCCCCGGGCUUAACCUGGGAAGUGCUUUUGAUACUGCAGAGCUUGAAUGUGGGAGAGGGUAGUGGAAUUCCAGGUGUAGUGGUGAAAUACGCAGAUAUCAGGAGGAACACCGGUGGCGAAGGCGGAUCUCUGGGCCAUUACUGACGCUGAGGAGCGAAAGCGUGGGGAGCGAACAGG